GUCGUUCAAGACCAGGACGUUGAUAGGUCAGGUGUGGAAGCGCAGUAAUGCGUUAAGCUAACUGAUACUAAUUGCUCGUGCGGCUUGACCCU
rnacentral:rRNA from 1 species